rnacentral:rRNA from 1 species
GACGAACGCUGGCGGCGUGCUUAACACAUGCAAGUCGAACGGAGUUUAGGUCAGUAGUUUACUACAGAUUUAAACUUAGUGGCGGACGGGUGAGUAACACGUGGGCAACCUGCCCUAAAGAGGGGGAUAACACCGAGAAAUCGGUGCUAAUACCGCAUAAAAUUAGAGCUUCGCAUGGAGCUUUAAUCAAAGGAGUAAUCCGCUUUAGGAUGGGCCCGCGUCUGAUUAGCUAGUUGGUGAGGUAGAGGCUCACCAAGGCGACGAUCAGUAGCCGAUCUGAGAGGAUGACCGGCCACACUGGAACUGAGACACGGUCCAGACUCCUACGGGAGGCAGCAGUGGGGAAUAUUGCACAAUGGGGGAAACCCUGAUGCAGCAACGCCGCGUGGAGGAAGAAGGUUUUCGGAUUGUAAACUCCUGUCUUUUGGGACGAUAAUGACGGUACCAAAAGAGGAAGCCACGGCUAACUACGUG